UUACACGUGAGUAACCUGCCCUUAACUCUGGGAUAAGCCUGGGAAACUGGGUCUAAUACCGGAUAGGAGCGUCCACCGCAUGGUGGGUGUUGGAAAGAUUUAUCGGUUUUGGAUGGACUCGCGGCCUAUCAGCUUGUUGGUGAGGUAAUGGCUCACCAAGGCGACGACGGGUAGCCGGCCUGAGAGGGUGACCGGCCACACUGGGACUGAGACACGGCCCAGACUCCUACGGGAGGCAGCAGUGGGGAAUAUUGCACAAUGGGCGCAAGCCUGAUGCAGCGACGCCGCGUGAGGGAUGACGGCCUUCGGGUUGUAAACCUCUUUCAGUAGGGAAGAAGCGAAAGUGACGGUACCUGCAGAAGAAGCACCGGCUAACUACGUGCCAGCAGCCGCGGUAAUACGUAGGGUGCGAGCGUUAUCCGGAAUUAUUGGGCGUAAAGAGCUCGUAGGCGGUUUGUCGCGUCUGUCGUGAAAGUCCGGGGCUUAACCCCGGAUCUGCGGUGGGUACGGGCAGACUAGAGUGCAGUAGGGGAGACUGGAAUUCCUGGUGUAGCGGUGGAAUGCGCAGAUAUCAGGAGGAACACCGAUGGCGAAGGCAGGUCUCUGGGCUGUAACUGACGCUGAGGAGCGAAAGCAUGGGGAGCGAACAGGAUUAGAUACCCUGGUAGUCCAUGCCGUAAACGUUGGGCACUAGGUGUGGGGACCAUUCCACGGUUUCCGCGCCGCAGCUAACGCAUUAAGUGCCCCGCCUGGGGAGUACGGCCGCAAGGCUAAAACUCAAAGGAAUUGACGGGGGCCCGCACAAGCGGCGGAGCAUGCGGAUUAAUUCGAUGCAACGCGAAGAACCUUACCAAGGCUUGACAUGUUCUCGAUCGCCGUAGAGAUACGGUUUCCCCUUUGGGGCGGGUUCACAGGUGGUGCAUGGUUGUCGUCAGCUCGUGUCGUGAGAUGUUGGGUUAAGUCCCGCAACGAGCGCAACCCUCGUUCCAUGUUGCCAGCACGUAGUGGUGGGGACUCAUGGGAGACUGCCGGGGUCAACUCGGAGGAAGGUGAGGACGACGUCAAAUCAUCAUGCCCCUUAUGUCUUGGGCUUCACGCAUGCUACAAUGGCCGGUACAAUGGGUUGCGAUACUGUGAGGUGGAGCUAAUCCCAAAAAGCCGGUCUCAGUUCGGAUUGGGGUCUGCAACUCGACCCCAUGAAGUCGGAGUCGCUAGUAAUCGCAGAUCAGCAACGCUGCGGUGAAUACGUUCCCGGGCCUUGUACACACCGCCCAA
rnacentral:rRNA from 1 species